UAAAGAGUUGGAACAAUGCAGAGAGGAUUGGCAUGGACCCUGUGCAAGGAUGACAUGCGAAUUUGUGAAGUGUUCCUCAUUUAC
rnacentral:snRNA from 1 species